UACGUAGGGGGCAAGCGUUGUCCGGAAUUAUUGGGCGUAAAGAGCGUGUAGGCGGUUAGGUAGGUCCGUUGUGAAAACUCGAGGCUCAACCUCGAGACGCCGAUGGAAACCAUCUGACUAGAGUCCGGAAGAGGAGAGUGGAAUUCCUGGUGUAGCGGUGAAAUGCGCAGAUAUCAGGAAGAACACCCGUGGCUAAGGCGGCUCUCUAGUACGUGACUGACGCUGAGACGCGAAAGCGUGGGGAGCGAACCGG
rnacentral:rRNA from 1 species